UCCAUAUUAUUGCUGCUGAUUCCCAGCCUGCCUCCCGCCCCGCACUACCCCAGGGAUUUGUGGCGGAGGGGCUAUUUGGGACAGCGUGGAGGUGGCAGCGCUGUGAGCAUCCUCCCGGACUUCUCUGCCAUUGGGGGCUGCAGCAGCUGGCUGUGGGUGGAGGACAGGUGAAGCCCCUCCCUAAGGAAAUUGGUGGGGAUAGGGGGUGCUGUAGUAGGGGGCAGCCUGUGAGGGGCAGGAGGCUGUGUGGUUCAGGGUGAGGGCAGGAGGUUGCUGGGCAGUGGGAUCUCCUGGAAGGGGCUCCAUCCCCUGAACAGGAGGCUUCCUGGGGCAGCCUCAAAGGCACAGGAGAACAGGCAGCAGCCGGCCGCAGCAGCAGCAGAGGAGGAGGAGGAGGAGGAGGAGGGAGCAGCACCAUGACUCAUUUGCAGGCAGGUCUGUCCCCGGAGACGCUGGAGAAAGCCCGGCUGGAGCUGAACGAGAACCCAGACACUCUGCACCAGGACAUCCAGGAGGUGCGGGACAUGGUGAUCACGCGGCCGGACAUUGGCUUCCUCCGCACAGACGAUGCUUUCAUCCUGCGGUUCCUGCGGGCCAGGAAGUUCCAGCACUUUGAGGCGUUCCGCCUGCUGGCCCAGUACUUUGAGUACCGCCAGCAGAACCUGGACAUGUUCAAGAGCUUCAAGGCCACCGACCCAGGCAUCAAGCAGGCGCUCAAGGAUGGCUUCCCUGGUGGGCUUGCGAAUCUCGACCACUAUGGCAGGAAGAUCCUGGUCCUCUUCGCUGCCAACUGGGACCAGAGCAGGUACACGUUAGUGGAUAUUUUGCGUGCCAUCCUUCUUUCUUUGGAAGCCAUGAUUGAAGACCCCGAGCUUCAAGUGAAUGGAUUUGUUUUGAUUAUAGACUGGAGCAACUUCACUUUCAAGCAGGCCUCCAAACUUACACCAAGCAUGCUGAGAUUAGCUAUAGAGGGUCUUCAGGACAGCUUUCCAGCUCGGUUUGGAGGAAUUCAUUUCGUCAAUCAACCAUGGUAUAUCCAUGCCCUCUACACAGUUAUACGACCCUUUCUAAAGGAGAAAACACGAAAAAGGAUAUUUCUUCAUGGAAAUAACCUCAACAGUCUACAUCAACUGAUUCAUCCUGAGAUCCUACCUUCUGAGUUUGGAGGAAUGUUGCCACCGUAUGACAUGGGGACAUGGGCCAGAACACUGCUAGACCAUGAAUAUGAUGAUGACAGUGAAUUCAGUGCAGAUUCCUACAACACUUCCUCGAAAGACACAGAAAAGGACCUCUCUCCCAAAUCCAUGAAGAGGUCUCAGUCAGUCGUGGAUCCUGGGGUUCUAAAACGUGUGGAUAAACAUGAGGAAGAAAACAUGCAGCCUUUGCUUUCACUUGACUAACAGCUCCUGAGCAUCAAUUGUGAACUGAGGUGGAAGGUACUGCCUUUCAGCAACAAGCAAAAUUUUGGGAUGGAACGUACCAGCUAGAAAUCUAUUUAUUCAUGUUAAUGUAGCAUAAUGUUAUCAGGCAGCAGGUUUUGCUGGUCUGCCUGAAACAUGGGUGCCCUGGAACGAAAAGGAAAACAAAAAUCAAUAAUUUAUUCUAUAGUGAAAGUAGACUAUAUUAGAAUGUGUUUAUAACCAAGACCUUAUCCUUUAUGAAGAAGCAAGCUACCAGCAUUUUUUCCGGGAGAGUCUCAUUACUGAGGAACUGGGAUUUGGUACAUUUUGGUUGAAGCUGAUGCCUACCUGGAGCUGUUUCAUGCAGCAGGAGCAAACAUUUCUCUGAUUGAAAAAGAACCUGAAGAUAGAGAAGAGAAAUAAACGACUUUAUUUAAUUUUGUCUAUAUUUUUUCACAAACCAUUCUGUUACCUAGUCAGGAUGUAUGAAAAAGUAUCUGUCAGCUUCUUUUUUUUUAAUCAAAGUCAUGCUUUAGCAAGCAGAAAUUGGUCAGAUCUUGUUUAUAGAUAGGCUUAUUGUGUAAGACCUGAAUUUUGGACUGAUAAUGGUUCUUUAUCUUCAUUAUUAUAGAAUACAGAGGUUUAGGUUGUGGUAUAUAUCUGGGGUAUUAAAGGCAGAGUGCAUCUUUAAACAUGGGUAGGAAAAUCCUGUGUUCCUAACUAUUUGUUUUUAGGACCCUUUAGGUUUUAGGUCCCAUAUUACACUGAAAUCUGGUUAAUUGGUCACUGGGUAACUUGUUAUUAUUGUCUUAUUAAAUAGCGCACAAUUCCCUGCCAGAGUUUCAUUGAUUUAUGCAGAAAAUACUUUGGCUAAAUCAUCAUCUGUGAACGCAUAAUUAGUCAUUUCCAAAUGUACAUCACAACGUACAUCAAAUCACAAUGAAAAUCUGCUCCUGAUAAUUAAGCAGCUUAAAAGGUACUGACCUAUGCCUUCCAUAGCAUAUGUCAAGCCUAGUGAUGCUUACAAAGCAUUGGAUACUCUUCAACAUUUCUUGGUUUGACAACAUGUAGGCAAUCAACAGUUCCAUUUUACCAAACUAUCUUCUACUUUGGUAAUGAGUGCAUGUAAGCGUGCAAAGCAAAAACCUUCAAGUAAUUAUUUUACUUCCUCAUAAUCAUGUAAUAAUUAUAUAAAUGACAUUCUGAAUUGCAGUAAGAAACAGUACAUUAAGCAUUUAUCUAUAUAAUAAUGCAGUUCUUGUAUAGUAAGCCAUAGUGUAUAUAAUUUGCACUUGGAAUGUUUGUAAUAUAGUUUCCCUUCAUUACAAAUGUCUAAACCAUUCUUAAAUGGGUCUCAAUGUGGCAUGAAAAAUACAUCUCCUAAAAAUUUGAAAAUGGCUACUAUUAAGGAUUAGUCAUUCAUGAAUAGUUAGUCAUCAUUACCAAUCCCCUAGGAGUGAUGAAUUAACCAGAUUUUGCGGGGGGAGGGGGGGUUAUCAAAACUAUCUUUUGAUCUGAGGUAUUGGACAAAAGUAAUAAAUGCAGCCAAACAUACAAUUAAGUGGAAAGCAAAAAUGUUUUUUAAAGAGUUAUACUUUUAGGUCUUGGGAAAGUCUUAAAAUGUCCCUUUAAGUUAUAUUUCUCUGAAUAAAACAGAUACUUUUUUUGAAGUACUGAGAAUCAUAAAAUCUUUUUGCUCUGAUGGCCUGAUCCAGAAUCCAGUGGAGACCCAGAGUGGAUAAAAAUCAGUGAUUAAAAAAAAUGGAUUUAAAAAAUUUAAAUCAGAUUUUUAAAUUUAAUCAUAUUUUUAAUAUUUUGUUAAGAUGCUUUUAAAAAUAAACUUAUAUAAAGAUAGUUUUAGGUUAAGGUACAUUAAAGCUCAAAUUAUAUCAUCAUGGAAUAGGGAUUAUAACUUCUAAUUAUAUACUAUUUGAGACAAUAUAUUCAUGUAACCUUUUUAAAAGUUUUAUAAAUAGGUCACAACAGGCCAUGGACUAUAUUAGGGGCCCAAUGUUAUUGGGUUCCUAAAGGCUCCUUUAUAGAUUAGCAAAGAUUAAAGAAAACUACUCUACCCAAUGGGACUCAGUGCUCAGUCUAGAAGAUCACAUUGAGCAUCUCUGUGAUGCUUAGUUUCAGUUCUCAAAUUGUGGAUUUGUGUCU